rnacentral:lncRNA from 1 species
ACGGAAUAAGUAAAUAAACUUUUAUUAUUAAACAUUAUAAAAACAUUCCACUGCCUUAACUAUCAUAAUUUUAUCCAGAAUUGAUAAUUUUAUCCAGAAUUGUGAGAAUGAGAAGGUGCAGAACUCGAAGUUCCAAUACCAUAACUAGAAGGAGAAGGUGCAGGACUCGAAGUUCCAAAAUUUAAAUUUGCACGAGGCGGAGGUGGUUUAUAAUUGUGUCUUUUACUACCUUGUGAUGGCGCAACAGGACCUUUUGGUAAUACUCCAAAAUAAAAAUUUGCACGAGGUGGAGGUGGUUUAUAAUUGUGUCUUUUACUACCUUGUGAUGGCGAAACAGGACCUUUUGGUAAUACUCCAAAAUAAAAAUUAUGGUGAGCAGGUGAUAGAGGUCCUGACGGCGGAAUGCGCAUACCUUUUGGCAAUAUUUUAAAGGGAUGAUCGCCCAUAACAAGAGAAAAAAACAAGAAACACAAAGUACCAAAAAAAUAAGCCAUUGAAAUAUUCAUCUCUCCA